CAGUCAUGUGCUGUGGUGUGAUUGUUUCUGGACAUUCAUAAAAUUUUAUAGUUAACUGAAUUCUCUUUUCUGUUUUGUUGCUAUUUAACGUCCAUUGAAAACAUGGCUUUCUUUUGCGCAUUCUGUUACUUUCAGCUGUACUUUCUAAUAAGAAUGGAUUGCCCUUUUUAGCAAUCUUUGAUUGAACUGGUACAUUUCAGAUUACUUAAAUGUCAUCAGGCCACACAGCAUACCAGGUAACAGAAAGCCAUAAAUUAAAAAUAAAAAAAAGGCAAGCAAAA
rnacentral:lncRNA from 1 species